AGAUGGACAGAAGUGAGGACAUUCAUCGGCCGCAUUUUACUAAUGGCAAGGAGAUAGCGACUGAAGGGCAAGAACCUAGGGUUUCCUGUCUUUGAUAUUUCUCAUCUUUGAGGUAAGUACACCUGGACAGUCCCUUCCUUCCUCCUCAGGGCUCAUGCUUUCUUGCCUAUCCGUGUAAUUAAUAUGAUCUGGCUAUCUUUGUCUUUGUUCCGAAACUUCAGCUGCAAAUGAAAGUGUAAGUUAGGUCUGAGUCUGCACUAUAGACCUAGCUAUCCUAGGUUAAAGGGGAUAAAAUAGGAAUCAAGAAGCCUGGCCCGCUUGGGCUCCCAGCUCAAGUGCAUUCUGCAAUCCAGUUUAUAUUAGGCCUCCAUGUGGGUGGCUAUCCUUUAUCAAGAUCCCCCCCAGGGGGAGGAGGAUUAUUAGUCACAUUAUCAAACUCCCCUCCAACCCCUUUCUCUGCUUAGAGGUAUGUGUAAUGUGUAGUAGAAAGACCGAAUCCCCACCCAAAAGUCCUUACUGCUACUCAUGUUUUUAACCUUCUGUUCUUUACCCUACUCCCUAAUAAUGACCGCCAUCAUUUAUCUACUGCUUAAUGGAUACUAGGCACUGUGCUAAGGGUUUUAUGUUUUACUUCAAUCUUUUCAUCGGCUUUAUUUUGAUAGUUUGUUUUAUAGAGGAGGAAACAGACUUAGGUAAGUUACAAGAUGACAAGGUUACUACCUUGUUCAGUUAGUAGUCAGCAGCUAGUAUAUCCAAAGAUAGUACGAGUCAGAACUAGGAUUAUAAACUCAGGGCUACCUGAAACUCACAACUUCAGGCAUCUUUGAUUUCUUCUUUUCACCCACAGCCAAUUCUUCAACUAAAUUGUAUCCAUUCUGUUUUCACCGUCUCUUGUACUGGUCUCCUUUCUAUUGUAACUGUCAUCAUCCUAACUCAAGAUCCUUCUGUAGCUUUCCCCGGUUAUUGGAAUAUCCUUAUUACGACUGCCACCUUUUCUAAUCCAGUCUGUUUACUACUGCCGGGUUAAUUUCCCCAAACUGCAUGUCUGGGGAAUAACCUUGUGGUUAUGACAGAAUUCCCAAAGGAAAGCAAACUUGGCAAGGUGCAAAGACUAUGAAGACUUAGAACUUAAGAGUUCUAUGGAGAUCUUCAGAAAUAUAAAUUAGCUACUCAACAUAUCUGUUAUUCUGCCCUGAUUGCACUGUAAAGCAAAAGGAGAGAGGCCAUUAUGGGGAAAAAGAUCCAAAAGGACUCAUCUAAAACACAAGUUGGGUAGAGGAGAUAGGUGAGUACUAUUAUAUUAUGUUCAUGGAAAAUGAGUUCAUGGGCUUUCCUCUAAUUUUUAUUUUAAAAAUAAAUGUAAAUAUUAAAUAAAAUUUUUUAAAUGA
rnacentral:lncRNA from 1 species